AUGGAAAGAAACAAAACUUAUCCCUUGCCAUCACUUCUCUCCGACUUCUCCUUCUCUCACAGCGCGCCUCACCAUUUAUGCUUUUAAACCUGCCUCUGAGUUCUCUCUUCUCCCCGACAUCGCCUCUUCGAUAGAGCAUCUCGGUUUUACUUACAUCACUCUCUUUCUCUCUAUUUUUAAAGGUUGAUUGCUAGAGUUUCCCUACACGGAGAUGAUGUUAAAAUUUCCGUUGUUAAACGAUUCAUUCAUUACUAUUGAUUGCGUGCAACACAGAAGAUUGUUGAUGGUCUGUCGAUCAAGGACUGGAGAGAUGUAAGGGAUGCUUCAUUCAGCAUCAUUCCUAGAAGCACUUGUGCAGCUAAGGUAGGUUCAGAAAGCCCUUCCAAAGGUCUAGAAUCAUCAGAGCGCCUUGAUGGGUUUGUUCAUUCUAUUUGUAUAACUCCAGAAUGUGUUAAAUGAAUUCUAUGGUAUCAUCAUGAGUUGUUGAACAACAGUUUUACAUCAUAUAACUCUAUUGCAGAGCUGAAUUUGCUGAAACUGAUAAGGUUUAUGCACAUAUGACUCCCCGGUAAAGAGUUCACAAUGAUAUUUAUCCUGGUAUUACCCUUUACAAAUUUAUUUAUGUUUAUGUUAAAUACAGAGUUUAAUACAUCUUAUGUACCUCCCAAAGUGGCUGAAAAGGAUCUUUCCUCCCCGUGUGUGUUCAUUUUUUUAUUUUUAUUUUCACAUCUUAAUUAAAGUAUCAACGUUACACACACUUGUUAUUUUUACAAAUUCUAGUGCUUAUUAAUGAUCAUAUUGGACUUUUCGAUGCAACCCCAUCUAAAGGUAUGUAAAAGCUAACUUUUUUUGUAUCACAUUUGUGCCCUGAAGCUCUCGCUUACACGAACAUCAUUUUCAUUCUCAAGGCCAUCCACGAAUAAGUGUGAGGCUCACUAUACACGAAGAACUUACUUGACAGGUAUGUGCGGCUCAGUUCAUCAUCAGAUAAUUCAUCAUUUUGUUAGGUUUCCCUUAUCUUUAAGAAAGCUUAGAACUAGUAUUGGUGUUAGUUCAUGUUUUGUUUAUAUUUUUUCUGGUUAUUCUGAACCCAAGUGUCAACUGAAAUCAAAUAUGAUCAGUGUCUUGUACAUAUAAUGAAUUCGAAUGUUAAUUGA